rnacentral:lncRNA from 1 species
ACCUGUCUGAACCCCCUUAGUGCCCCACGGAAAAGAGGUCUGCACAAUGCCAUAAUGUUCAAUCCGAUUUUAUUUUAUUUACCCCUUUUCCCGUCCCUCCUUUUCUGACAACCACCUUCUUUCUCAUAGCUGGGAAGAUGCUGGGCUUUAGAUGUCUUCAUUCAAUAAAGAAUGCAAGGAGCUGUCCAAUCGAACUGAAUGCUGUGGAGGAACGCUGCUGUUCCAGAUGCUGAUGAAGCACAAGUCUGUCAUUCCUUGCUGUGGGUCAUGGAACAUCUGGGGAGGUGCUGCCUGACUGGCUCCGAAGCUGCUCGAGGAAGCACCUGUUGCUUCCUACAUUUUAUGCUCUUCACAAGCCUGUGAGGUAAGUCGGCUAAGAGGCAGGAAGUGGCCCU